rnacentral:sRNA from 1 species
UCCCUCAGGGAUCCCGUAUGCUGGAAGC